AGUAGAGAUGCUAUCCAAGGGCUGAUGAUAUGCAGGUGGUCAUUCAAAUACGUGCACCUGAAUACUCACUCAUCUUGCACCAACAAGGUUUAUAGGCAACCUACUGCAGUGAGUCACGCUACUCCCACCCCUGCCUACCCCCACAAGCCCAGGAGACAGAGAGAGGCUAAACACCAGCGCUUCGAAACAGAGUGCAGUUUAAACAGGAUCUUGCAUCCUAAGCAAAAAUGUUCCAGCUCCACUCCAUGUAAUUCUGUGACGAGUAGUUGAGGGAGAUUCCCUUCAAAGAAGUUCCAGAAGCUGGAGGGAAGUUUAAGAGGUCAGAAGACAGGGGAAGAGGACAAAGAGCUGUUUUUGCCAGAAAGUCCUUUUGCGGGGGGAUCUUGACUGUAAAACAGAGAGGAAGGAUAAUUCAGUCUCAUGCAGCAGGCAUGGAGCCCAUGAGCCCUUGCUGUCCUACAUUGAACCAAGAGGGGAGGGUGGGGACUCAGGUGCCAACCUGGCUUGCACACACACUGGUGGGCUGUUUUUGAAUCUGUAAAAUGGGAGGAAAAGUGUCCUUCCUACUCCCUGCACGGGGAGAUGAGAGGACUGGUGUGCAUGAAGCUGGCUCCCCCGGCAUCGCCAGGCCACCAUCCGGGCCAGCCCAGUGACAGGGGCCAGGAGCCAGAACCCUCCCUCUCCAGGCCUUGGAUUUUAUUGGGAGACCCAGCUGGAGAAGAAGCAGGAGGACUUGAUGGGCACGAACGCUAUUCUGAGACUCAUGGAACAGACGUAGUGUCAUAUGAAAGUAGCUGUGAUUUCUAAAUGGUGACCAAGUGCCAGGAUUUGUUGCUGUUUAUAACCCCCCGGGUGCUAUCAGAUGUGCUGGAUGCUGGAAGAAUCAAUACUCUAAUCUUUGGUUCAUGAGAAUCCGACUCAGGUUCAUGAAAAAUCGGAACUUUCUCUGGUGCGAGCUUCGCUUAUAACUUUGACGUAGGGGACCCGGAAGUCCUUAUGGAUGCAGAGAGACAUCGGAAAAGUUGGCUUUCCUUGGCCUCUAAAAAGAUUCAGAAUAAAGGCUGGAAAAACGAGAGGAUAUCAUGAUGAAGAUGCACAGCAAUUCCAUUCCUGGGUAUAUACCCAAGAGAGCCUAAAACAGCGCUCAAUAAAUAGUUCUACACAAAUGUUUGUAGCAGCAUUAUUCAUGAUAGCUAAAAAGUGGAAGCAACUCAGAUGUCCAUUAUUGGAGGCAUGGAUAAACAAAAUGUGGUCUCUCCACAUAUUGGACCAUUAUUCAGUCAUAAAAAAGAGUGGAAG